AUUGAACGCUGGCGGCAGGCCUAACACAUGCAAGUCGAGCGAGCGGCGGACGGGUGAGUAAUGUAUGGGGACUGCCCGAUAGAGGGGGCUAACUACUGGAAACGGUAGUUAAUCCCGCAUACUAUCGGAUAACCCAUAUGGGAUUAGCUAGUAGGUGAGGUAAUGGCUCACAAGGGCGACGAUCCCUAGCUGGUCUGAGAGGAUGAUCAGCCACACUGGGACUGAGAGACGGCCCAGACUCUUACGGAGGCAGCAGUGGGGAAUAUUGCACAAUGGGCGCAAGCCUGAUGCAGCCAUGCCGCGUGUAUGAAGAAGGCCCUAGGGUUGUAAAGUACUUUCAGUAGGGAGGCGUUACCGACAGAGGAAGCACCGGCUAACUCCGUGCCAGCCGCCGCGGUAAUUC
rnacentral:rRNA from 1 species